AGAGUUUGAUCAUGGCUCAGGACGAACGCUGGCGGCGCGCUUAAUACAUGCAAGUCGAGCGAGAACCUGGGCUUCGGCCCAGGGGAAAGCGGCGAACGGGUGAGUAACACGUGGGUAAUCAACCCCCGACACCGGGAUAGCCCAGGGAAACUUGGAUUAAUACCGGAUGCUCCGUCUGGCCUUCGGGCCGGCCGGAAAAGGGUAGCUUCGGCCUCCGGUCGGGGACGAGCCCGCGGCGGAUUAGCUUGUUGGUGAGGUAAAGGCUCACCAAGGCGACGAUCCGUAGCUGGUCUGAGAGGACGAUCAGCCACACUGGGACUGAGACACGGCCCAGACUCCUACGGGAGGCAGCAGUAGGGAAUCUUGGACAAUGGGCGCAAGCCUGAUCCAGCGACGCCGCGUGGGUGACGAAGGCCUUCGGGUUGUAAAGCCCUUUUCCCGGGGACGAUGAUGACGGUACCCGGGGAAUAAGCACCGGCUAACUCCGUGCCAGCCGCCGCGGUAAUAC
rnacentral:rRNA from 1 species